rnacentral:SRP_RNA from 1 species
GGAAGAUUGGAGCGGGCGAAUGUCUCGCCAAUCCGGUCAGAGUCGAGAGACAGCAGCCGCAACGAGUUUAUCCGGGUCGUUUCAGUCUUCCACU